rnacentral:ncRNA from 1 species
GUAUCGUCCCCCUGUCGCUGCCAAAUCAGCGACCGACCUUGGCGGGUCGAUCA